rnacentral:rRNA from 1 species
CAAUAGCGUAUAUUAAAGUUGUUGCGGUUAAAAAGCUCGUAGUUGGAUUUCUGCUGAGGACGACCGGUCCGCCCUCUGGGUGAGUAUCUGGCUCGGCCUGGGCAUCUUCUUGGAGAACGUAGCUGCACUUGACUGUGUGGUGCGGUAUCCAAGACUUUUACUUUGAGGAAAUUAGAGUGUUUCAAGCAGGCACACGCCUUGAAUACAUUAGCAUGGAAUAAUAAGAUAGGACCUUGGUUCUAUUUUGUUGGUUUCUAGAGCUGAGGUAAUGAUUAAUAGGGAUAGUUGGGGGCAUUCGUAUUUAACUGUCAGAGGUGAAAUUCUUGGAUUUAUGAAAGACGAACUUCUGCGAAAGCAUUUGCCAAGGAUGUUUUCAUUAA